GCUGGGAGUGGUGGCCUACUCUUGUAAUCCCAGUGGUUCAGGAAGCUGAGGCAGGAGGAUUGCGAGUUCAAAGCCAGCCUCAG
rnacentral:sRNA from 1 species